ACGAACGCUGGCGGCGUGCUUAACACAUGCAAGUCGAGCGGUAAGGCCUCUUCGGGGGUACACGAGCGGCGAACGGGUGAGUAACACGUGGGUGACCUGCCCUCAGCUCUGGGAUAAGCCUGGGAAACUGGGUCUAAUACCGGAUAUGACCUUUCCUCGCAUGGGGUUUGGUGGAAAGUUUUUUCGGCUGGGGAUGGGCCCGCGGCCUAUCAGCUUGUUGGUGGGGUGAUGGCCUACCAAGGCGACGACGGGUAGCCGGCCUGAGAGGGCGACCGGCCACACUGGGACUGAGACACGGCCCAGACUCCUACGGGAGGCAGCAGUGGGGAAUAGUGCGCAAUGGGCGGAAGCCUGACGCAGCGACGCCGCGUGGGGGAUGACGGCCUUCGGGUUGUAAACCUCUUUCGACCCCGACGAAUUUGGACGGUAGGGGUAGAAGAAGCACCGGCCAACUACGUG
rnacentral:rRNA from 1 species